rnacentral:rRNA from 1 species
CAUGCAGUCUCUUGAUCCUUCGGGUGAAGGUGGCGGACGGGUGAGUAACGCGUAAAGAACUUGCCUUACAGACUGGGACAACAUUUGGAAACGAAUGCUAAUACCGGAUAUUAUGACUGAGUCGCAUGAUUUGGUUAUGAAAGCUAUAUGCGCUGUGAGAGAGCUUUGCGUCCCAUUAGUUAGUUGGUGAGGUAACGGCUCACCAAGACGAUGAUGGGUAGCCGGCCUGAGAGGGUGAACGGCCACAAGGGGACUGAGACACGGCCCUUACUCCUACGGGAGGCAGCAGUGGGGAAUAUUGGACAAUGGACCAAAAGUCUGAUCCAGCAAUUCUGUGUGCACGAUGAAGUUUUUCGGAAUGUAAAGUGCUUCCAGUUGGGAAGAAGUCAGUGACGGUACCCAACAGAAGAAGCGACGGCUAAAUACGUGCCAGCAGCCGCGGUAAUACGUAUGUCGCAAGCGUUAUCCGGAUUUAUUGGGCGUAAAGCGCGUCUAGGCGGUUUAAGUAAAGUCUGAUGUGAAAAUGCGGGGCUCAACCCCGUAUUGCGUUGGAAACUGCUAAACUAGAGUACUGGAGAGGUAGGCGGAACUACAAGUGUAGAGGUGAAAUUCGUAGAUAUUUGUAGGAAUGCCGAUGGGGAAGCCAGCCUACUGGACAGAUACUGACGCUAAAGCGCGAAAGCGUGGGUAGCAAACAGGAUUAGAUACCCUGGUAGUCCACGCCGUAAACGAUGAUUACUAGGUGUUGGGGGUCGAACCUCAGCGCCCAAGCUAACGCGAUAAGUAAUCCGCCUGGGGAGUACGUACGCAAGUAUGAAACUCAAAGGAAUUGACGGGGACCCGCACAAGCGGUGGAGCAUGUGGUUUAAUUCGACGCAACGCGAGGAACCUUACCAGCGUUUGACAUCCCAAGAAGUUAACAGAGAUGUUUUCGUGCCUCUUCGGAGGAACUUGGUGACAGGUGGGUGCAUGGCUGUCGUCAGCUCGUGUCCUGAGAUGUUGGGGUUAAGUCCCCCAACGAGCGCAACCCCUUUUCGUAUGUUACCAUCAUUAAGUUGGGGACUCAUGCGAGACUGCCUGCGAUGAGCAGGAGGAAGGUGGGGAUGACGUCAAGUCAUCAUGCCCCUUAUACGCUGGGCUACACACGUGCUACAAUGGGUAGUACAGAGAGCUGCAAACCUGCGAGGGUAAGCUAAUCUCAUAAAACUAUUCUUAGUUCGGAUUGUACUCUGCAACUCGAGUACAUGAAGUUGGAAUCGCUAGUAAUCGCAAAUCAGCUAUGUUGCGGUGAAUACGUUCUCGGGUCUUGUACANCACCGCCCNACAGCACCCACGAGAGUUGGUUGCCACCCUGAAGUAANCAGGCCUAACCCGUAAGGACGGGAUGU